rnacentral:rRNA from 1 species
UACAGAGGGUGCAAGCGUUGUUCGGAAUCACUGGGCGUAAAGCGCGCGCAGGCGGGUGGGCAAGUCGGAAGUGAAAUCUCGCCGCUCAACGACGAGGCUGCUUCGGAUACUACCCAUCUAGGGACCGGUAGAGGCUGGUAGAAUUGCAGGUGUAGCGGUGGAAUGCGUAGAGAUCUGCGAGAAUACCCGUGGCGAAGGCGGCCAGCUGGGCCGGGUCCGACGCUGAGGCGCGAAAGCGUGGGGAGCAAACAGG